CCUACGGGUGGCAGCAGUCGAGAAUCAUUCACAAUGGGGGAAACCCUGAUGGUGCGACGCCGCGUGGGGGAAUGAAGGUCUUCGGAUUGUAAACCCCUGUCAUGUGGGAGCAAAUUAAAAAGAUAGUACCACAAGAGGAAGAGACGGCUAACUCUGUGCCAGCAGCCGCGGUAAUACAGAGGUCUCAAGCGUGGUUCGGAAUCACUGGGCGUAAGGCGUGCGUAGGCUGUUUCGUAAGUCGUGUGUGAAAGGCGCGGGCUCAACCCGCGGACGGCACAUGAUACUGCGAGACUAGAGUAAUGGAGGGGGAACCGGAAUUCUCGGUGUAGCAGUGAAAUGCGUAGAUAUCGAGAGGAACACUCGUGGCGAAGGCGGGUUCCUGGACAUUAACUGACGCUGAGGCACGAAGGCCAGGGGAGCGAAAGGGAUUAGAUACCCGAGUAGUC
rnacentral:rRNA from 1 species